ensembl:lncRNA
ACUUGCCUUCCAAACCUUUGGUUGGCAUACACCCAGAUGCCGUGGUGAUGGUGUCUGUGCAGUACUAGAUAUAGCAGAGUAUAGAUGUGGUGUACUCCUUCUGGUAGGCAGGCUGGUAACAUAAACAAGGAUAUUUGGUCCAACUAGCACAGGUGGGGUGUUGUUAUGGUGCUGUAUCCUUGUUUAAUGUUGGAGUAGACUUUAUUCAGUAGCUUUUCCCACGUGCAGUACAGUUUACAUACUGACAAAAAUUGGGGAAGUAACCUGAACACAUUUGAUAUAAUUUAUCACUGAUUAUAUGUAGAUGUUUUAUUGUUUAUCCAGUCUGAGGAGCUGCAAUUUGUCAGUGAUCAGCUGUGCUGCACUGGUUUCUGCUCUGAGGUCCAGUCCUUCACAUCUAAGAAUCCUGAACCUGAGUGACAACAACCUGCAGGAUUCAGACGUUAAGCAACUCUCUAAACUUGUGAGGAGUCUACACUAUAAACUGGAUACCCCAAGCUGGGAAUGAUGAUCUUGGCAAUGGUGACAGUGUAUGUGAGUGGAUGAGCUGUGUCCUGAUCAUCCCGAGAGACUGAAGCAGCAGCAACGUGUGCGUUACUGGGAGGUGAAAUGGAGAGUUAAGCUUCAUCCAAAGAGAAGAAGUCUAGAUGACUGUUAGUGCUGGAGCGUGAACUCUUCUAAGAGUAUGCUAAGUGUAUUCUUCUAACAGCUGCACUGAAGAAAAAACGCAUCAAGGGGGAAAGGGACACAGUUAUUAUUAAGGGGGAAAGGGACACAGUUAUUAUUAUUAUUAUUAUUAUUAUUAUUAUUAGUAGUAGUAGUAGUACUAUUAUAACAACCAAUGAUCAAUUUUACAAAUAUAAGUAUAAAUGAAAAAAUAUGAAUACUGAUGCUUUUAAUGAAGGACAAUGUAAAUACUGGUGUAAGUAUAUACUCAUAUAGUUAGAUAUCAUUCUUUUUAUUUAGUUUUUUUUUUUCAAAUAAGUACUUUCAGUUUAACUUCAUUUUAAAUGUUAUUCAGCUUUUGCUUUAUGUUCUGUGCUAUAAAUAAAUCUAUCAUGAUACUACAACACUUCAAACCACAACAAUGUGUUGGUUAUUUUAACAUAGGCAGAUAGAUUUUAAAACAAUUAAGAGUUUAUUGUAUUAUAUGUCUUCACUAAUGGACAGCUUAAAUGGCAUUCUGACACAAUCAUUUUCGUCCAUGGUGGCGGAAGCUACCCCUUCAGUAGCUCCUGCUUGCAUUAUAUUCUUUAUUGUCAUUACCUGAUGGAACAUAAAGAUGUUAAUAAUUCAAUUUAAUUCAAUUUUAUUUGAUUUAUACAGUGCCGAACUACAAC